GACGAACGCUGGCGGCGUGCUUAACACAUGCAAGUCGAACGGUAAGGCCCUUCGGGGUACACGAGUGGCGAACGGGUGAGUAACACGUGGGUGAUCUGCCCUGCACUUCGGGAUAAGCCUGGGAAACUGGGUCUAAUACCGGAUAGGACCCUGGGAUGCAUGUCCUGGGGUGGAAAGCUUUUGCGGUGUGGGAUGGGCCCGCGGCCUAUCAGCCUGUUGGUGGGGUGAUGGCCUACCAAGGCGACGACGGGUGGCCGGCCUGAGAGGGUGACCGGCCACACUGGGACGGAGAUACGGCCCAGACUCCUACGGGAGGCAGCAGUGGGGAAUAUUGCACAAUGGGCGCAAGCCUGAUGCAGCGACGCCGCGUGAGGGAUGACGGCCUUCGGGUUGUAAACCUCUUUCAGCACCGACGAAGCGCAAGUGACGGUAGGUGCAGAAGAAGGACCGGCCAACUACGUGCCAGCCGCCGCCGUAA
rnacentral:rRNA from 1 species